rnacentral:lncRNA from 1 species
UUUGAGAUCCUUUUAUGAAUAAUGGUUGAGAAGUGCUGCUCUUUAGUACUAAGAAUAGUGGUUAUUCCUAGUGCAUUUGACUCGGAGAUGGGGACUAUUCCAUUGCUCUAUUUGUCCCACACUCGGUACACAGUUACUGAAACUGUCACCGUGUCCUAUAUUCCAUAGGCCAUUAUGUGUAUUUCAAACCGUUAUAUAAAUGGACUUGAUUUGGCACUUCUGAAUGUCAUUAAACUCCUCCCAUACCAGUAACAACACAGUUUCCAUAGAAACGAAUACAUUUCAGAAAGGAAGGCACAGGGAAGAAAGCAGAUGGAGUCACUGACCUUCAUUCAUUCUCCGAAACUUGUCCUUGGCCAUGUAGCCCAGCACCAGACAGCAUCCUCUCUUCUGGAGGCCCAGCUCUGGAAGAAUCUCAGGCACCCAAAUUGACGAUGUUAAGUUCCCUCAUUCAAGGCCUUGGCCCUUUCUUCAGGGGCUCCUGCUCUGUCGCAGGCCUCAUGGAUCAAAGCCCCUUUGAUGUUUACUUACUGUAUUUGUGGAUUCUUUCUAACAACCACCUUCAAGAGGCAGGAAUGGUUAACCAGCCCAUUGUAAUUGCACACGCAUUGUUCAUCAUUAGAAUGAUACAAUUGCUGACAAUUCCUAUUAUAUUUUUG